UUUUAUUUCUCCAUUUUUCUAACAUGACUCAUUUCCACCUCCGCCUCCUCCUCGCCAUUCUUCUUCUCCUCCUCACUCCGACCACCGCCGCCACCAUCGCAUCCGCCGCAGUCCGGCCAAGGAUUUCGUUGAGAAAACAAGUGAUUUUCCGGCCAUCUUCGCCGUCGACAACCAAACCCAUAGACUUCGAAGAUCAGAAGCGAAGAGUCCCCACAGGUUCGAAUCCUCUACACAACAAACGGUGAUGAUUAUUUCACAAGCUUCUCAAAUUAAAAUAGUUGACGUUACGUGAGACCCUACAUCAAUUGGACGGAAGAACGAAGCAUCCAAGGGUGUGGAAAUCUUUCCCUAAUAGAUGCAUUUUAAAAUCGUGAAGCUGAUGGCGAUAUGUAAUGGGCCAAAACGAACUAUAUCUACGGAAAGGGAUAAUCUCGAGUUUAGAGUUGGAAUUUGGUGAGUGAAGUGGUGGAAGUGGUGGGAAUGGUCCACAACCAGGCUUUUCUCCCCUUCUUUUUGUGUUGAGGAUGUGUGUAUAUGCGCGCAUGUAAAACUCAACUCAUUUGAGCAAAUUAUUGUGUGGUUGAAUAGAAAUAUAUCAUCUUUUUGUA